rnacentral:rRNA from 1 species
CCUACGGGGGGCAGCAGUGGGGAAUAUUGCACAAUGGGGGAAACCCUGAUGCAGCGACGCCGCGUGAGUGAAGAAGUAUUUCGGUACGUAAAGCUCUAUCAGCAGGGAAGAAAAACCGGCCUUAGGGCCGCCAGACGGUACCUGACUAAGAAGCCCCGGCUAACUACGUGCCAGCAGCCGCGGUAAUACGUAGGGGGCAAGCGUUAUCCGGAUUUACUGGGUGUAAAGGGAGCGUAGACGGCAGCGCAAGUCUGGAGUGAAAUGCCGGGGCCCAACCCCGGAACUGCUUUGGAAACUGUGCAGCU